rnacentral:misc_RNA from 1 species
UCCUGGUUAACCCAGGCAGUCUCAUUAGAGUUCCCACCAUUACGUGUUGGCAACUAAUGAUAAGGGUUGCGCUCGUUGCGGGACUUAACCCAACACCUCACGGCACGAGCUGACGACAGCCAUGCAGCACCUGUGCACAGGCCCCGAAGGGAAAUACAAUCUCUUGUAUCGUCCUGUGCAUGUCAAGCCUGGGUAAGGUUCUUCGCGUUGCAUCGAAUUAAACCACAUGCUCCACUGCUUGUGCGGGUCCCCGUCAAUUCUUUUGAGUUUCAGCCUUGCGACUGUACUCCCCAGGCGGUAUACUUAUCGCGUUAGCUACGGCACAGCCAGGGUUGAUUCCGGCUACACCAAGUAUACAUCGUUUACGGCAAGGACUAC